ensembl:lncRNA
AAAAAAGAUUUUAAGAUUAAUUUUUUUGCUCCUCUCACUCUAGCAGUUGAGCUGUCUCACUCUAGCCCCAACAUUCCGUCCCAUACACACCCAUUAUAAACUCUGAAACGGGUGAAAAAACAUCAUGAAACUUAAACUGGAACUGAAGAAAAAGUAUAAUAGAUAUUGAAAAGAUAAAUACAAGUUGAAUAGUUGAAUGUCUUGUCUUCGUUUUAAAGUUUGAAUGGUGGCUCUAUGUCAAUGUAUGUGGAAGUAGUAAGAGUUUAAAAAUGAGUAAGUUGAAUGAGGAUUUGAAGGGUCUCCCCAUUGAAAUACAUUAUAAAUUUUUGUUGAAUAAAGUUGAAUAAAAUUAAAAAUAUAAAUGUUAAAAAUAUGAAAAAUAGAAGCAGUGUUGUCCAAAAGAAUAGGAAUCUAACGGUGUUUGAAUGGUUUUUCUAAGUUGAACGGUUUUGAAGGAGUAGGCUUUCAAAAAACGUACGGAAAAAUAAAAUAUAAUAAUAACUAGAAAGUGCAUUUUCUGAAGAAACUGCAGUGUGAAUGCUUGAAUCUGAAUGUAUGCACUGAAAUGAAUUAAUUGCUGAAUUUUGAGUUAAAAAUAUUGAAUGAGAUUAAAAAAAAACAAAAAAAAAACGAAUUUAACCUGAAAACAAAGGUGCUGAACUGCUAAAAGCUGAAGGUUACACAGAAGAAGGAGUUGGAAAAAAACUGAAAAUGUUUUAAAUGUAAAUUAGAAAACCCUAAGAAAUGAGAAAAGAACAUUUAGAGUCAGAAAACAUCUGAAUGAAUAUUAAAAGGUCAUAUUCUUUGAAUCACUGAAUGACUCAAAUGUGAUCCCUCCACUUGGAUCCACACAGUUUAAAAAGUUUAAAUGUCUGAGCUUUGAAAGACAAGAUGUUGGAAAGAGAACAACGAUGGCGACGUUUUGAGGGUAAAAUGAUGGCUUUAACACUGUGGACACAGCAGCAGUUGAAAGAGAAGUGUUUAAGAUGAAUCUUGGCAGAGUGGCAGGCAGAGCUCGUUAAGCAGGCAGGUGUGAGCCUGGUUGCUAUAGUGACCGCACCCAAUGGCUCCAUACACACGCACACAGACAUGCACCUCACUUUUGCUGCUUAAAAUGAACAGAAAAGUCAGGCCGAAACAAAUCGCUCCCAAAUGAAAAGUAAAAGUCGUAUUGACAAAAUUCUUUCACCGUGAGCGACAGCAAUGUCUAGUCUACCUAAUUCUCAGUUUUCAUGUCUGUGGAGUUUAUUAUAUGGACGUGGUGACAGUGGAAAGACACCAUGCUCUUCUGAUUUUCAAACGAACCUUCUG